rnacentral:rRNA from 1 species
CVAGNMMUARYUKCGRURRGAAGACCUAGCGGAGGAUCAUUACCGAAUUGUCAACACGAGUUGUUGCUGGUCCUCAAAUGGGGACAUGUGCACGCUCUGUUUACACAUCCACUCACACCUGUGCACCCUCCAUAGUUCUGCAGCCUGGGGGGGCUCUGUUCCCCUGCCGUGGUUCUAUGUAUUUACACACACACACACCGUAGUAAAGUCUCAUGGAAUGCAUACCGCGUUUAACGCAAUAUAAUACAACUUUCAGCAACGGAUCUCUUGGCUCUCGCAUCGAUGAAGAACGCAGCGAAAUGCGAUAAGUAAUGUGAAUUGCAGAAUUCAGUGAAUCAUCGAAUCUUUGAACGCACCUUGCGCCCUUUGGCUAUUCCGAAGGGCAUGCCUGUUUGAGUAUCAUGAACACCUCAACUCUCAUGGCUUUGCCAUGAUGAGCUUGGACUUUGGGGGUCUUGCUGGCCUGUGGUCGGCUCCUCUCAAAUGAAUCAGCUUGCCAGUGUUUGGUGGCAUCACGGGUGUGAUAACUAUCUACGCUUGUGGUUUUCCACCAGGUAACCUUCAGUGAUGAAGGUUCGCUGGGGCUCAUAAAUGUCUCUCCUCAGCGAGGACAGCUCUUUGAAUGUUUGAUCUCAAAUCAGGUAGGACUACCCGCUGAACUUAAGCAUAUCAAUAAGCCGGAGGAA